rnacentral:rRNA from 1 species
CCUACGGGGGGCAGCAGUGGGGAAUAUUGCACAAUGGGGGAAACCCUGAUGCAGCGACGCCGCGUGAGUGAAGAAGUAUUUCGGUAUGUAAAGCUCUAUCAGCAGGGAAGAAAUAAAGUCCUUCGGACUUUGGACGGUACCUGACUAAGAAGCCCCGGCUAACUACGUGCCAGCAGCCGCGGUAAUACGUAGGGGGCAAGCGUUAUCCGGAUUUACUGGGUGUAAAGGGAGCGUAGACGGCAGCGCAAGGCUGGAGUGAAAUCCCAUGGCUUAACCAUGGAACUGCUUUGGAAACUGUGCAGCUGGAGUGCAGGAGAGGUAAGCGGAAUUCCUAGUGUAGCGGUGAAAUGCGUAGAUAUUAGGAGGAACACCAGUGGCGAAGGCGGGUUGCUAGACUGUAACUGACACUGAGGCACGAAAGCGUGGGGAGCAAACAGGAUUAGAUACCCGUGUAGUC